rnacentral:ncRNA from 22 species
GUAGCCUUGCCGGUUCGAGGUUCUUCAUGUGUAAAGCGUUACGACAUGAAGCUAAGACGGGAAUGCGGUACAUGCCGCAGCUGCCCCCGCAACUGUAAACGGUCAUGUUCAUUGCACAGCCACUGCUGCGGCGGGAAGGCGCGAUGAAUGUGUGUCGGCAAGGUGUUCAACGCCCGCCACACGCUGCCGUGAGCCAGGAGACCUGCCUCGAACCGGGCUGACAAA